rnacentral:rRNA from 1 species
CCUACGGGAGGCAGCAGUGGGGAAUAUUGCACAAUGGGGGAAACCCUGAUGCAGCGACGCCGCGUGAGCGAAGAAGUAUUUCGGUAUGUAAAGCUCUAUCAGCAGGGAAGAAAAUGACGGUACCUGACUAAGAAGCUCCGGCUAACUACGUGCCAGCAGCCGCGGUAAUACGUAUGGAGCAAGCGUUAUCCGGAUUUACUGGGUGUAAAGGGAGCGCAGUCGGCUGUGCAAGUCUGAUGUGAAAUGCCGGGGCUCAACCCCGGGACUGCCUUGGAAACUGUACAGCUAGAGUGCCG